GGAGGUCCCGAGAUGAGUCGAGAUAUGAAAGGGUGCUGUGAAUCUCUAGCAGCGAGUAGAAUAACCCCUAGCCAAGUCCAGCUCCUGCAGAGUCCUUGCGUGGUGCAUCAGCCUUGAUUCGGGGAGGUCUAACGAUCCGAUCAAUAAGUCCAUAUUCCAAGGCUUCUUGAGCAUUGAAACGUUUCAUGCGGCUCAGGUCCUUGUGGAUCUUUUCAACAGGUUGACCCGUCUUUUUAGCCAAUUCCCCGAACAAGUAGUCUCUAAUUCGAAGGAGCUCAUUUGCCUCAUUCUGA
rnacentral:misc_RNA from 1 species